rnacentral:rRNA from 1 species
GAGUUUGAUCAUGGCUCAGAUUGAACGCUGGCGGCAGGCCUAACACAUGCAAGUCGAGCGGAUGAAGAGAGCUUGCUCUCUGAUUCAGCGGCGGACGGGUGAGUAAUGCCUAGGAAUCUGCCUGGUAGUGGGGGACAACGUUUCGAAAGGAACGCUAAUACCGCAUACGUCCUACGGAGAAAGCAGGGGACCUUCGGGCCUUGCGCUAUCAGAUGAGCCUAGGUCGGAUUAGCUAGUAGGUGAGGUAAUGGCUCACCUAGGCGACGAUCCGUAACUGGUCUGAGAGGAUGAUCAGUCACACUGGAACUGAGACACGGUCCAGACUCCUACGGGAGGCAGCAGUGGGGAAUAUUGGACAAUGGGGGCAACCCUGAUCCAGCGACGCCGCGUGUGUGAAGAAGGCCUGCGGUUGUAAAGCACUUUUAGUGGGGAUGAAAAGCCGAAGGCUAAUACCUUUCGGUCUUGACCCUAACCCAAAGAAAAAGCACCGGCUAACUCUGUGCCAGCA